rnacentral:rRNA from 1 species
UACAGAGGUCCCAAGCGUUGUUCGGAUUCAUUGGGCGUAAAGGGUGCGUAGGUGGCGCUGUAAGUCGGGUGUGAAAUUUCGGAGCUUAACUCCGAAACUGCAUUCGAUACUGCGGUGCUUGAGGGCUGGAGAGGAGACUGGAAUUCAUGGUGUAGCAGUGAAAUGCGUAGAGAUCAUGAGGAAGACCAGUGCCGAAGGCGGGUCUCUGGACAGUUCCUGACACUGAGGCACGAAGGCCAGGGGAGCAAACGGG